UGUACUGGUACCAGAUCGUAGAGUUUGAUCCUGGCUCAGUAAGUCGUAUCAGGGUAACCAGUCGAAUAGUUUAUUAACACGUGGGCAAUCUGCCCUGCACUCUGGGACAAGCCCUGGAAACGGGGUCUAAUACCGGAUACUGAUCCUCGCAGGCAUCUGCGAGGUUCGAAAGCUCCGGCGGUGCAGGAUGAGCCCGCGGCCUAUCAGCUAGUUGGUGAGGUAACGGCUCACCAAGGCGACGACGGGUAGCCGGCCUGAGAAGGGCGACCGGCCCACACUGGGACUGAGACACGGGCCCAGACUCCUACGGGAGGCAGCAGUGGGGAAUAUUGCACAAUGGGCGAAAGCCUGAUGCAGCGACGCCGCGUGAGGGAUGACGGCCUUUCGGGUUGUAAACCUCUUUCAGCAGGGAAGAAGCGAAAGUGACGGUACCUGCAGAAGAAGCGCCGGCUAACUACGUGCCAGCAGCCGCGGUAAUACGUAGGGCGCAAGCGUUGUCCGGAAUUAUUGGGCGUAAAGAGCUCGUAGGCGGCUUGUCACGUCGGUUGUGAAAGCCCGGGGCUUAACCCCGGGUCUGCAGUCGAUACGGGCAGGCUAGAGUUCGGUAGGGGAGAUCGGAAUUCCUGGUGUAGCGGUGAAAUGCGCAGAUAUCAGGAGGAACACCGGUGGCGAAGGCGGAUCUCUGGGCCGAUACUGACGCUGAGGAGCGAAAGCGUGGGGAGCGAACAGGAUUAGAUACCCUGGUAGUCCACGCCGUAAACGGUGGGCACUAGGUGUGGGCAACAUUCCACGUUGUCCGUGCCGCAGCUAACGCAUUAAGUGCCCCGCCUGGGGAGUACGGCCGCAAGGCUAAAACUCAAAGGAAUUGACGGGGGCCCGCACAAGCGGCGGAGCAUGUGGCUUAAUUCGACGCAACGCGAAGAACCUUACCAAGGCUUGACAUACACCGGAAAACCCUGGAGACAGGGUCCCCCUUGUGGUCGGUGUACAGGUGGUGCAUGGCUGUCGUCAGCUCGUGUCGUGAGAUGUUGGGUUAAGUCCCGCAACGAGCGCAACCCUUGUCCCGUGUUGCCAGCAGGCCCUUGUGGUGCUGGGGACUCACGGGAGACCGCCGGAGUCAACUCGGAGGAAGGUGGGGACGACGUCAAGUCAUCAUGCCCCUUAUGUCUUGGGCUGCACACGUGCUACAAUGGCCGGUACAAUGAGCUGCGAUGCCGCGAGGUGGAGCGAAUCUCAAAAAGCCGGUCUCAGUUCGGAUUGGGGUCUGCAACUCGACCCCAUGAAGUCGGAGUCGCUAGUAAUCGCAGAUCAGCAUUGCUGCGGUGAAUACGUUCCCGGGCCUUGUACACACCGCCAGUCGUGUCAAGAAAGUCGGUUAUAGUGUUUGAUCCUGGCUCCAUAAGUCGUAACAAGGAACCAGUUGUAGAGU
rnacentral:rRNA from 1 species